UCCUCCCUUCCCUACAUGCACCCUUGUCUACCUUCUUUGGGGAUCCAAAGUACUUCUAUUCUGUACACCCACCACCACCUGAUCAUGUGCCUUAACCAUAUCUUUAAGAGGCUAUUUCACUGCCUUUUCUGGGCUGGCAGUUUCUGUAUGGUGCAUGACCACAAUCACAUGUGCAAUGGUUAAAAACACAUUUUUUCCCAGCAAUUGUAGAUCAAAGAGUAAUUAAUAAUGAAAAUUAUAAUUGAAUAACUAAAACGUUACAUGUCAAAAUGUGUGAUUUGCAGCCAACAGAAUUUAGAAGAAAAUAUGUGUUUAUAUAUGUUUUCCUCAAGAAGAAAAAAAUGGCUCAAAAUAAACAAACUACGAUCUAAAGUAAGAAAUCGAAAAAAGAACCUCAGGUUAUGUAUCAAUUAGCCAUUGGCUGUGCCUCCCCCGGGGCUUGACAGAUCUGAUUAAAUUAAGGAUCCUACAAGGAAGAGAAGGAAGGUAGGAGGUGAGAGAGAGAUACGUGAUGACGAUAGAUGCCAGGUUAGACAGCGAUUGGUGGGGAGACACGAUGGGAAGACGCUGCACUGCUGGCUUUGAAGAUGGAGAAAGAAUCGUCAGCUAGAGAAUGCUGGCAGCCUCCACGCAGCGGAAAAAGCAAGGAAGCAGCUUCUACCCUCGAGACUUAGGUGGAACACAGCCAAGAAUCUACUUUACUUCUGAUCCUCAGAACUUUAAGGUAAUGUAUUGAUGUUGUUUUAGACCACUAAGGGUUUGGUAAUUUGUUGCAGCACCAAUAAGAAACUAAUUCAGUGGCCUGGGUGGUCUGCUUUUCUGCUCCCCAUGAUGUUGCACCUACCAGCAGGUUAACCCUAGCCAUUCACAUGCAGUGGCAAGUUUUCGAGAGAGUAGAAAUGCCCAGCACUUUGGAACUGGCAUGGCAUUUCUUCUGCUGCAUUCUGGAUUAAACUCAGCAACAUCUGGUCCAAGGAAGAAAACAAUAAGCUCUAUCUCUUAAUGGGAGGGACCCAAAGUCAUAUUGCAAGGAAAAAGGAUACAGGGAAGAGAAAUGUUAGGGCUCCUUUGGAAUCUGUAAUCACUUUGGAAAAAUAGCAAGAUUGAAGAUGCCCUUACUUCAGUAAGAGAAACGCUUGUUCAUGUACUCCAUGUUCCUAGCAGUACAAUUAACUAAGAAUGGGAAAUAAUCCAAAUGACAUACAAGAAUGAGCAAAUGCAUUAUGGAAUGUUCACACAAUGAAAUACUACACAGCACUAAAAAUGAAUACAGUUGUACACAUCAAUAUGGAUAAAUCUCAUAAGCAUAUUGUUGGUAAAAACCAAGUCACAGAAGUAUAUGCUUUCUAGUUUCAUUAAUAUAAAAUACAAAGACAAUGAGAGAUUAGACAUGUUGUUUGGUGAUACAUGCAAUGGGCUGGAUGUAUUAAAUGGUGAGUAUCAUGCUCCCCAAAACCAUAUGUGAACACUCUAACCCCAAAAAUGACUGUGAUAGAGACUUUAGAAGGUAACUGAUAUUAAAUGAGGUCAUAAGAAUAGAGUCCUACCUGACCUGAUUUGGUGGCCUUAUAUGAAGAAAAGAGAACUCUCUCUUCACCAUGUGGGGACACAUCAGUGAAAAGACAGCCAUUUGGAAGCCAGGAAGAGAAGCCUCAGUAGGAACUAAUUCUACCAGCACCUUCACCUUGGACUUUCAGCUCCCAGAACUGUGGAAAAAACAACAACAAUAUUCUGUUGUUAAGCCACCUGAUCUAUGGUAUUUUCUUCUGGCAGCCUGAAUUGACUGGUAUAAUAGAGAAAGAGUUCAAUGAGAGAGGGGGGCGGGAAUAAUUAACACAAAAUUCAGUGAAGCAGUGAUUUAUGUGGAAGGAAGGAAGAUAUGAUUGGGAAGGGAAAACAGAAGGUCCUCAGCUAUGGCUAAUUAGUUUCUUAAGCAGGAUGGUGUGUGCACACCCUUAUUCCAUUUGUUGUAUAUGUAGUCCUAGACUCAUUGUGGUUUCACUUAAAAGUUUUUGACUUUAUGAUUGUGUAAAAGUAAUUACACACUCAGUAGAACCUUCCUUCAAAGUUUGCAUAUGGAUUUUUUUCUGAGCUAAAGGUGUGAUCUUCUCUUGGGAAGCUGGGCAGCACAGCAAGCCACAGCUCCCAGUCAGCCGCAUAAUCAUGAAGGGAAACUAUGGACACUCUACAGUGUGCUGUGUUGCUAAGUUAUGAUGUGUGGUAGGUCAGGUGGAUUAACUGCAUUUUGACCUAUAAUAUUUUUAACUUGUCAUGGGUUUAUCAGGAUGUAAAUCCUCUGUAACUCAAGGAGUUUUUUUGUUUAAAAUCACACAGAUUUUAUAUACACUGUUUAAUGUGCAGCUUGUUCCAAAUGAAAAAAUUAAUAAACUCUAUGACUGUUAGCCUCUCCUCCAGUUUUUUCAUGACACUUCUGCAAAUGAGAAGUGUCCCUCAUUUAUUCACUGAGGAGCUAGCCUGCUGGUUCCACAACUCCUAAUCAUGUAACUUGCUGGUUUGAGAGGGCCACAGUUAGGUGAUGUCAGGGUGGUUGCCCCAUGCUUGAUACCCAGGCUGUUCCUCUUCGUUCCUGAUCAGGAGCCAGCCACAUCAAUCAUAUGAGAUUUCUAAGGUGUCUUAGUCUUUUGCUGUUGCUAUAACAAAAUACAGGACACCAGAUUAUUUUAAAAAGAAAAAAUGUUUAUCUGCCUCAUGGUUCUGGAGGUUGAAAAUCCAAGAAAAUGUGCUGGCAUCUGCUUAGCAUCUGGAGAGGAACUUAUUGACUGCAUCAUAACAUGGCUGAGGAUAUCACAUGGUGAGACAGAGCAAACAUAAUAUCAUGAGUCUCUCUUCUUCUUUUUAUAAAGUCACUGAUACCAUCAUGGGGGCUCCUUCCUCAGGAUAUUAUCUAAUCCUAAUUACCUCCAAUUGCCAUUAAUAUAUGAAUUUCCAAC
rnacentral:lncRNA from 1 species